rnacentral:rRNA from 1 species
GGCCAGACUCCUACGGGAGGCAGCAGUGGGGAAUAUUGCACAAUGGGGGAAACCCUGAUGCAGCGACGCCGCGUGAGUGAAGAAGUAUUUCGGUAUGUAAAGCUCUAUCAGCAGGGAAGAAGUUGACGGUACCUGAGUAAGAAGCCCCGGCUAACUACGUGCCAGCAGCCGCGGUAAUGCGUAGGGGGCAAGCGUUAUCCGGAUUUACUGGGUGUAAAGGGAGCGUAGACGGCAGUGCAAGUCUGAAGUGAAAGCCCCGGGCUUAACCCGGGAACUGCUUUGGAAACUGUACGGCUGGAGUGCUGGAGAGGUAAGCGGAAUUCCUAGUGUAGCGGUGAAAUGCGUAGAUAUUAGGAGGAACACCAGUGGCGAAGGCGGCUUACUGGACAGUAACUGACGUUGAGGCUCGAAAGCGUGGGGAGCAAACAGGAUUAGAUACCCUCGUAA